rnacentral:rRNA from 1 species
CCUACGGGAGGCAGCAGUGGGGAAUAUUGGACAAUGGGCGAAAGCCUGAUCCAGCAAUGCCGCGUGUGUGAAGAAGGUCUUCGGAUUGUAAAGCACUUUCGACGGGGACGAUGAUGACGGUACCCGUAGAAGAAGCCCCGGCUAACUUCGUGCCAGCAGCCGCGGUAAUACGAAGGGGGCUAGCGUUGCUCGGAAUGACUGGGCGUAAAGGGCGCGUAGGCGGUUCGGUUAGUUAGGCGUGAAAUUCCUGGGCUCAACCUAGGGACUGCGCUUAAUACAGCCGGGCUUGAGUUCGGAAGAGGGUAGUGGAAUUCCCAGUGUAGAGGUGAAAUUCGUAGAUAUUGGGAAGAACACCGGUGGCGAAGGCGGCUACCUGGUCCGAUACUGACGCUGAGGCGCGAAAGCGUGGGGAGCAAACAGGAUUAGAUACCCUGGUAGUCCACGCUGUAAACGAUGUGUGCUGGAUGUUGGUGACAUAGCAUCAGUGUCGUAGCUACGCGAUAAGACACACCGCCGUCGGGGUAGGUACCGGGCCGGCCGAACGGUUAGGUAAACGUUAAAACGGUAAAGUUAGUACGGCGUGAGACGUCGCCCGAACGGCGACCGACCGAGGGGAGGUAGG